AUCUUUGCACAGUCUGGCAGUAUCGUAGCCAAUGAGGUCUAUCUGAGGCGCGAUUAUUGCUAAUUGAAAAAAAAAAUACACACAGAAGAGUGUACAAAACAGUAUGUGUGUCUCACGUGAAUUAACAGAAAGCAAACCCAUAUAAACCACCCUGAUGCGAAUCAGGACAUUGC
rnacentral:snRNA from 1 species